rnacentral:pre_miRNA from 1 species
AGCCUUUUUUAUCCGUGCUGAGAUUUCGUCAGCGAUCAAUCCGCUGGCACUGGCUGAUAAAACUGCAGAAAUAAGUGAAGUG